AUUACAUCCUUUAGUCAAUGGCUGUAGCUAACUUUACAGCUAAAGAAUCAACAUACAUGGGCAGUGACGAAUGUUACUGUCUAUAUUCUCGGGUGGAAUUUUCCAUGUUCAGAGUGUGAACUACUGUUUGAUUCUGUUAAAAGUAAAAAAGUGAGAACCAGUUAAGAAGUUUGAUGUUACUUAGCAGGAAAAAUGUAAUAAAACUUACAGCGGUGUUCUUGUUUAUUGAAAAGCUCAGAUCUGUGUGCCCUGGCAACUGGCUGGCCAAAAGACUUCAGCAGAAGUGAGAGUAUGUCAACUUCAUCCUACAACUUUGGGAGGCCUUGCACUCUUCCCACACUCUCUAGAAUUCUUGCUACCUUAAAGUGAACAAGGCUAUCUUGAGAAGAGGAUGUGAAUUAAAAUACUCAAGAAAAGUCUAGCUCUCCUAGCUGAGGGUGUUUGACAUUAAUCUGCAGGUGGGCAGGCAUGUGAAAGUUGAAGAGCAGAGCUACCUGAAUGACUCAAAGAUAACCAGACCUCAACUCUACAUAAAGAACUAAAGGCAACUAAGGAAUGCUGAGACGGGGAGAAAUAGACUUCUUCAGGGCAGAUCACACCAACUGGUUAUCUAACCAAAUAGACAACCCUGAAAACAUACACACAAGGAACAUGAUACAGAUUGAG